rnacentral:rRNA from 1 species
ACGAACGCUGGCGGCGUGCUUAACACAUGCAAGUCGAACGGAAAGGCCCUUCGGGGUACUCGAGUGGCGAACGGGUGAGUAACACGUGGGUGAUCUGCCCUGCACUUUGGGAUAAGCCUGGGAAACUGGGUCUAAUACCGAAUAGGACCACACGCUUCAUGGUGUGUGGUGGAAAGCUUUUGCGGUGUGGGAUGGGCCCGCGGCCUAUCAGCUUGUUGGUGGGGUAAUGGCCUACCAAGGCGACGACGGGUAGCCGGCCUGAGAGGGUGACCGGCCACACUGGGACUGAGAUACGGCCCAGACUCCUACGGGAGGCAGCAGUGGGGAAUAUUGCACAAUGGGCGCAAGCCUGAUGCAGCGACGCCGCGUGAGGGAUGACGGCCUUCGGGUUGUAAACCUCUUUCAAUAGGGACGAAGCGCAAGUGACGGUACCUAUAGAAGAAGCACCGGCCAACUACGUG